CCCGCACAAGCGGAGAACAUGUGGUUUAAUUCGAUGAUACGCGAGGAACCUUACCUGGGCUUAAAUGUAGAGUGCUAUUUUUUAGAGAUAGAAAUUCCCUUCGGGGCUUUCUGCAAGGUGCUGCAUGGUUGUCGUCAGCUCGUGCCGUGAGGUGUCGGGUUAAGUCCCAUAACGAGCGCAACCCUUAUCGUUAGUUGCCAUCUGGUAAUGCAGGGGACUCUAGCGAAACUGCCACCGUAAGGUGAGAGGAAGUGGGGAUGACGUCAAAUCAGCACGGCCCUUAUGUCCAGGGCUACACACGUGUUACAAUGGUCGGUACAGAGGGCAGCUACCUGGUGACAGGAUGCUAAUCUCGAAAACCGGUCUCAGUUCGGAUCGAAGUCUGCAACUCGACUUCGUGAAGCUGGAUUCGCUAGUAAUCGCGCAUCAGCUAUGGCGCGGUGAAUACGUUCCCGGGCCUU
rnacentral:rRNA from 1 species